rnacentral:rRNA from 1 species
UACGGAGGGGGCUAGCGUUGUUCGGAAUUACUGGGCGUAAAGCGCGCGUAGGCGGCUUUGUAAGUUAGAGGUGAAAGCCCGGAGCUCAACUCCGGAACUGCCUUUAAAAACUGCAUCGCUUGAAUCCAGGAGAGGUGAGUGGAAUUCCGAGUGUAGAGGUGAAAUUCGUAGAUAUUCGGAAGAACACCAGUGGCGAAGGCGGCUCACUGGACUGGUAUUGACGCUGAGGUGCGAAAGCGUGGGGAGCAAAC